AGUGAACGCUGGCGGUAUGCCUAACACAUGCAAGUCGAACGGCAGCACAGUAAGAGCUUGCUCUUACGGGUGGCGAGUGGCGGACGGGUGAGGAAUACAUCGGAAUCUACUUUUUCGUGGGGGAUAACGUAGGGAAACUUACGCUAAUACCGCAUACUACCUACGGGUGAAAUCAGGGGAUCUUCGGACCUUGCGCGAUUGAAUGAGCCGAUGUCGGAUUAGCUAGUUGGCGGGGUAAAGGCCCACCAAGGCGACGAUCCGUAGCUGGUCUGAGAGGAUGAUCAGCCACACUGGAACUGAGACACGGUCCAGACUCCUACGGGAGGCAGCAGUGGGGAAUAUUGGACAAUGGGCGCAAGCCUGAUCCAGCCAUACCGCGUGGGUGAAGAAGGCCUUCGGGUUGUAAAGCCCUUUUGUUGGGAAAGAAAAGCAGCAGGUUAAUACCCCGCUGUUCUGACGGUACCCAAAGAAUAAGCACCGGCUAACUUCGUG
rnacentral:rRNA from 1 species